AUUGAACGCUGGCGGCAUGCCUAACACAUGCAAGUCGAACGGCAGCACAGCAGUAGCAAUACUGUGGGUGGCGAGUGGCGGACGGGUGAGUAAUGCAUCGGGAUCUACCCAAACGUGGGGGAUAACGUAGGGAAACUUACGCUAAUACCGCAUACGUCCUAUGGGAGAAAGCGGGGGACCGAAAGGCCUCGCGCGGUUGGACGAACCGAUGUGCGAUUAGCUAGUUGGUAGGGUAAUGGCCUACCAAGGCGACGAUCGCUAGCUGGUCUG
rnacentral:rRNA from 1 species